rnacentral:rRNA from 1 species
GAUGAACGCUGGCGGCGUGCCUAAUACAUGCAAGUCGAGCGAACAGACGAGGAGCUUGCUCCUCUGACGUUAGCGGCGGACGGGUGAGUAACACGUGGAUAACCUACCUAUAAGACUGGGAUAACUUCGGGAAACCGGAGCUAAUACCGGAUAAUAUAUUGAACCGCAUGGUUCAAUAGUGAAAGACGGUUUUGCUGUCACUUAUAGAUGGAUCCGCGCCGCAUUAGCUAGUUGGUAAGGUAACGGCUUACCAAGGCGACGAUGCGUAGCCGACCUGAGAGGGGGGUCGGCCACACGGGAAAUGAGACACGGUCCAGACCCCCAGGGGGGGCAGGAGGAGGGAAUCUUCCGCAAGGGGCGAAAGCCUGAAGGAGCAACGCGGGGUGAGUGAAGAAGGUUUUCGGAUCGUAAAACUCUUUUAUUAGGGAAAAAAAAAUGUGUAAGUAACUAUGCACGUCUUGACGGUACCUAAACAGAAAGCCACGGCUACAUACGU